rnacentral:ncRNA from 2 species
GUACACUGUAGCAUAUACAAUUGCAUAUUGCGCCGCGCAUUUCCGGGGAAGCGGGUGAAACUCCCGCGCGGUCCCGCCACCGUAUUGGGCUUUGCCCUCAGCCGGGGUACCGGGCACGGCGCUGUUCUCA